rnacentral:rRNA from 1 species
UGAGGAAUAUUGGUCAAUGGGCGAGAGCCUGAACCAGCCAAAUCGCGUGAAGGAUGAAGGUAUUAUGUAUUGUAAACUUCUUUUGUCAGGGAAUAAAGUGCGGGACGUGUCCCGUUUUGUAUGUACCUGAAGAAUAAGGAUCGGCUAACUCCGUG